rnacentral:rRNA from 1 species
AUUGAACGCUGGCGGCAGGCCUAACACAUGCAAGUCGAACGAGUGGCGGACGGGUGAGUAAUGUCUGGGAAACUGCCUGAUGGAGGGGGAUAACUACUGGAAACGGUAGCUAAUACCGCAUACCAUCGGAUGUGCCCAGAUGGGAUUGACUAGUAGGUGGGGUAAAGGCUCACCUAGGCGACGAUCACUAGCUGGUCUGAGAGGCUGACCAGCCACAAUGGAACUGAGACGCGGUCCAAACUCCUACGGGAGGAAGCAGUGGGGAAUAUUGCACAAAGGGCGGAAGCCGUAUGCAGCCAUGCCGCGUGUAUGAAGAAAGCCUUCGGGUUGUAAAGUACUUUCAGCGGGGAGGCGUUACCCGCAGAAGAAGCACCGGCUAACUCCGUGCCAGCCGCCGCGGUAAUAC